UGACACCUUCUGCUUAAUUAAUCUCAGGAUGAAUGUUUCCCCCAGAGAGAAGACAAGCCCAUUAAGCAGGAGAAAUGAGCUUUGUAACCAAGAAAUCUACUCUCAGAAAAGUAGACUAUGUCUUCUCCAGCUUCUAGGAAAUCAGCGCAGGGUCUGGCACACCCACUGGAAACCAGAUCACAGCCAAUGUGAUGAACUGCUCAGCAGUGAUGGGAAAUGGCCCGAAUAAGAUCAGGUGGAUGUAAGCCUCUCCAAAGAGCUUCCCAGCGCACACUAGCUGAAGAUGAAUCAGUGCCUUGCCCAAUCAGCAGAGGGGCUUCUGCUGGCAGCUGAUGUGAGCAGAUAUGGAGAGACACAGGUAAGCAUUAGGCAGAGAGAAGAACCAGAUUGGAGCUCUUCAUUGGAUCCCUCCCCUUGAACCUUGAGGAACCCCAAAGAAGAAGGUGAGGAGGUACUGUGCGAGUUAGGGAAGCUGAAAACACCUUG